CAGUGGUCUGACGACUACCUAAACCAAACCGUGAACUCGUCCUCACAAAUACUCUGCUUCGGCGGGUCGCUCGCUGGGGGGAGCCCCGGGGCACGCGAUUGAGCGGCCCGGCCCGCCGAGGGAGAAAUCAAAAAUUCUUUUUUCAAAACCAGUCUGAGAAAAACUUUCUGAAAAGAAAAAUGAGUCA
rnacentral:misc_RNA from 1 species